rnacentral:rRNA from 1 species
AUGGCUCAGAGUGAACGCUGGCGGUAGGCCUAACACAUGCAAGUCGAACGGCAGCACAGUAAGAGCUUGCUCUUAUGGGUGGCGAGUGGCGGACGGGUGAGGAAUACAUCGGAAUCUACCUUUUCGUGGGGGAUAACGUAGGGAAACUUACGCUAAUACCGCAUACGACCUUCGGGUGAAAGCAGGGGACCUUCGGGCCUUGCGCGGAUAGAUGAGCCGAUGUCGGAUUAGCUAGUUGGCGGGGUAAAGGCCCACCAAGGCGACGAUCCGUAGCUGGUCUGAGAGGAUGAUCAGCCACACUGGAACUGAGACACGGUCCAGACUCCUACGGGAGGCAGCAGUGGGGAAUAUUGGACAAUGGGCGCAAGCCUGAUCCAGCCAUACCGCGUGGGUGAAGAAGGCCUUCGGGUUGUAAAGCCCUUUUGUUGGGAAAGAAAAGCAGUCGGCUAAUACCCGGUUGUUCUGACGGUACCCAAAGAAUAAGCACCGGCUAACUUCGUGCCAGCAGCCGCGGUAAUACGAAGGGUGCAAGCGUUACUCGGAAUUACUGGGCGUAAAGCGUGCGUAGGUGGUUGUUUAAGUCUGUUGUGAAAGCCCUGGGCUCAACCUGGGAAUUGCAGUGGAUACUGGGCGACUAGAGUGUGGUAGAGGGUAGUGGAAUUCCCGGUGUAGCAGUGAAAUGCGUAGAGAUCGGGAGGAACAUCCAUGGCGAAGGCAGCUACCUGGACCAACACUGACACU